GUCUACGGCCAUACCACCCUGAACGCGCCCGAUCUCGUCUGAUCUCGGAAGCUAAGCAGGGUCGGGCCUGGUUAGUACUUGGAUGGGAGAAACAUUCAAACAUCCAGAUCCAAGAAA
rnacentral:rRNA from 1 species